UCUAUUUUUGGGGCCCUAAUAUACUUAAGUACAAUAGUGUCUUUGGCGAUGCCUGCACUAAAUUAGAAAUCAUCGCAGUUCGUAUUCUUCCUCGGGGCCAGCUCAGCUUUCUGUUAUGUAAUGGUACAUAUCUGUUCUAAGCAAUCUGAAACUCGUCGUAAAUGCUACACACAACGUAAACGACUCAUGUACUGUUCUGUAGGAAAAGAAGACAAAGAACCCCUGACCAUUAUUUUUAACAUACACACACGCUUCUGCUUAACUCCAAGACAAGGUCUACGGAGCAGCAAAUUGCGCCAGUCAAGAAAACACAGUCGGUAACACAGAGCUGAUUUGUGACAGCAAAAAGUCAAGUAGCUCAUCAACUGCUUGUGAGAACAUAAUAGACUGCAUGGAGAAAAUUCAGACAGGCAGUAACAGGGCAGGACUGCAAACUCGGAAUUGGAAUUUCUAGUGUUAGCGUUGAACCCGUGCAACUUUAUUAACUCGAUCUAAUCAUUUUAGGAUACCAGGUUUUACAUGAAGCACAAAACGGCAGAAAGGUUAUAGGACAAAUUGAAAAGAAUAAAAGUUUCCCGGUCAGAAAUUUCACAUGAAAGCCUUUGGAAGUGAAAGCCCUUAAUUGGAUUGGACAAUGUGCAAAAAAACAAUGCUACUCAAAUUAUCAGAAUUGUGAGCUUCAGAUAUGGUUUUUUUCUUUAAUACCCUGACUCUUAAGGCCAGCAUCUCUGAAUCAUCUUUUCCUUGUUGAAGAUGGCACUGGUAUUUGACCAAAUGCGAGAAAUUCCGUCUGGCUCCGAUGAAGACAUCAAUUCUAGUUCUGCCCCAGAAGAUGUCACUUCCGGUUCCACCCCAAGAGACGUCACUUGCAGUUUCACAUUCCAAGAACACAGCCUGAUUAUGUCAUUUCUGGUUCCAGUCCCAAGAUCCCCCCUCUUCCUGCUGUUCAACUAUAUAUAAAUCCGCCAUGUUUCCUAACCUG